UACGGGGGGGGCAAGCGUUGUUCGGAAUUACUGGGCGUAAAGGGCGCGUAGGCGGUUGGAUAAGUCAGCUGUGAAAACCACGGGCUUAACUCGUGGCCUGCAGUUGAGACUGUCUGGCUUGAGUGUGGGAGAGGAGAGUGGAAUUCCUGGUGUAGCGGUGAAAUGCGUAGAUAUCAGGAGGAACACCAGUGGCGAAGGCGACUACCUGGCCUGUUCUUGACGCUGAGGCGCGAAAGCUAGGGGAGCAAACGGG
rnacentral:rRNA from 1 species